AGUGAACGCUGGCGAUAGGCCUAACACAUGCAAGUCGAACGGCAGCACAGUAAGAGCUUGCUCUUACGGGUGGCGAGAGGAGGACGGGUGAGGAAUACAUCGGAAUCUACUUUUUCGCGGGGGAUAACGUAGGGAAACUUACGCUAAUACCGCAUACGACCUACGGGUGAAAGCAGGGGAUCUUCGGACCUUGCGCGAUUGAAUGAGCCGAUGUCGGAUUAGCUAGUUGGCGGGGUAAAGGCCCACCAAGGCGACGAUCCGUAGCUGGUCUGAGAGGAUGAUCAGCCACACUGGAACUGAGACACGGUCCAGACUCCUACGGGAGGCAGCAGUGGGGAAUAUUGGACAAUGGGCGCAAGCCUGAUCCAGCCAUACCGCGUGGGUGAAGAAGGCCUUCGGGUUGUAAAGCCCUUUUGUUGGGAAAGAAAAGCAGCAGGUUAAUACCCCGCUGUUCUGACGGUACCCAAAGAAUAAGCACCGGCUAACUUCGUG
rnacentral:rRNA from 1 species